AAGGAGGGGAGCCGAGGCCCGGCGUGGGGAGGCCGGCAGGAAGGGCCUCGAGCCCAGUGCGGACCUUUCUUCAGCCUCUGUGCGGCCGAGCCGCGCGCCAGGCUGCUGUGCGAGGAGGACGCGCUGACUUCCUCCGACAUGGGCUCUGAUAGAGCAGAAAUAGCGGGACCUGGACUUGUGGCGCGCCUGGUGCCUGGUGCCACAUCUCGGGCUCUGCGAGCCUCCUGGCGCGGGAUCCUGCCUGUUCCCUUCUUUUCGCCGGGUUUGCAUCCAAGAGAGGGGAGGACAGGGGCAAAAGGAUGCAGGGAGGCUGCUGAUUUCCACUGGAGAGCUAAUUUCCUGUGAGAUAUUAACCGUGAUUUAAGAAAAAAAUUCCUGUAACUGUAAUGUCUUACAAUAACAGAAUGCAGGAGAGCACAUAUCAAUGAAGAAAAGACAAAAUGUAUUUAUCCAUGAAGCUGAGGUUAAGAAACCAGUGUCUUCAAGAGCCGGGGACAGCACUGGGUCUGUGCAGAGUUGAGAGAUGGUGAUGACAUGUGGUUUCCAGCAUUCCUGGCCCAGUCCAGGGACACUGUGGGUGUGCCCAGCUUAAGUCCAGUAACUGGAAAUACAAGCCCAAGUUCUGGAGAGUUUGAGCUGCAGAGAUAUAUAUGGGGACACUUUGAACCUUGACUCAUUGGCCAUAACCAGCAGAGUGGAAAAUACAAGAAGAGA
rnacentral:antisense_RNA from 1 species